ACACGACACGUUAAAAGUAGCUCGCGAAGGUAUAAGUUACACAAAUGCAAGCACGCGCGCACACAUGCACACAUGCACGCACGCAUGCACUCACGCACGCAACCGAGCAAUCCGGUUGUAUCGCAAAAACUUAUCCUCGGAAAUGUCCAUAAUUCGGUCUACGUGCUGUGACGCAUGAAAUAUACAUUACGUAAUUACGUAUAAUUUCGUAAAGGUAGUUAGUUAGUACUCGUACGUUUUUACGGAGGAGAGAUAGAAAGAGGCAAAUGCAAGUAAGAAAUUUACGACAAAAUAAAGAUAAGAGGCAGAGAGAGAGAGAGAGAGAGAUAGAUAAAAAUGGUUAUGAAACGGCACAAAAACGAGACGACUGUUUCUAAGCUUUGUAUGCAUCAUAGAAAUGAGCAUUAGCAUGAAAUGAGGAUUACUUUGGGAUACGAGCGAAUGUAUUUAAUGCACACGUUAACAGCAUCUCAGACCACUUCAAUACGAAGAUUGUCAUUCGAAGAUUUGCUUUUCAAUCGGAUUAUGACUAGCUUAUAUACUAUGACUAGCUAUUAUACUUAAAUACUUUAUACAAUGAUGAAUAAAUAAUAGAUAAAAGAAGUAGAUAAGAUUGAAAAACACUGCUCGUUCAAAUCUUUUCGAAAAAUUUCCAAAGCAUAGGGGGAAUUGAAUCGAUGAACGAUUCAGAACUCAUAAAUAAGUGGUUUCGAAGUUACUAUAAAAGUUAGAAAAUCGAACUAUCGUAACCUUUUGCUGCAAUUAUAAGCGUACUCGUACGUAGAGUAGUUAGAUAGAUAGAAUACGAUGAUGAUAGUAGGCUAUCUCAGCAACUAGAAUGCCACGCAUUCGCUUAUAUUCUCUUCUAUGGAGACAGACAAAGCAAUUUAUCCGAUGGUCUAUGCCGUAAUUACACACCGAAUUAACGACGUGGUUGCACAACGAAUUAGAAGCAGGUACGCUAUGGUUUCGCAUUCGCAAACGCUCUAUCGGCCCCUGUUUGCUCUUGGAUUUCAUUAGGACGCCCGUAAACAUACAUGUUCGACUGUAAACAGCGUGUUGUCAGAAUCGUACAGUUUCUCGUUUGGUAUCUCCAUAACUUGCCUCGAACUUUAACCAAACGGAAACUUGAUUCUGAUAUUGGAUAUAUCGGAAAAUCAUUCGCUGAUGUGAGUAUUUAAACAAACAACAGAGGGACUCUAGAACAUCGGAUAUAAGAAAGAAUAAAUAAGCUCUCGUUCGGUUCGUUUAAUAAAAGGAUAAACCCGACAAUGCUGUCGCAUAUUCUUUCUCCCUGAUGUAAUCGGCAAAGGUCACCAGGAACAGGAGCAGGAGCCAACCCUUCUCUCCUGUUCUCCUGGUGCACUCGUCGUCGUCGUCGUCGUCGUCGUCGUCGUUACCACCUUCGAUCGAGCGUGGAUAUCGAAUAACAGUAGCUCGUGUUACGCGAUAUGUCCAGGAGUGCGAGUGAAAUGCUAGAUACACAUAUAGAUAGAUGUAUACAUUCGAGGAUGCAUGGAUGCAUGAAUGCAUGCAUGCAUAAACGCGCCCAUCUCUCGAUAGGUCGAUGUGGCUACAGGAUAGAUGGUUAGAUGGCGCUUCGAUCCAGAGGGAUAGGGAAAGGGAGAAGGUUUGCGGGGAAGAACCGCCACGCAAUAUCGUGUAUGUAUAUAAUACGAGAGACAAUGUAACUCAGUUGGGUACGCCGCACAAUUAGUGUGUACGCGGUUGUCGUUGGCUAUACCAUGAGAGAAA
rnacentral:lncRNA from 1 species